rnacentral:miRNA from 1 species
GCCCACCUCAGCCUCCCAAAGUGCUGGGAUUACAGGCAUGAGCCAUUGCGCCUGACCAAGACAUGUAUCUUUAUAGGGCAAGGUUUCUCAACUUCAG